GAGUUUGAUCGUGGCUCAGAUUGAACGCUGGCGGCAUGCCUUACACAUGCAAGUCGAACGGCAGCACGGGAGCUUGCUCCUGGUGGCGAGUGGCGAACGGGUGAGUAAUGCAUCGGAACGUAUCCUGGAGUGGGGGAUAACGUAGCGAAAGUUACGCUAAUACCGCAUAUUCUGUGAGCAGGAAAGCGGGGGACCUUCGGGCCUCGCGCUCUUGGAGCGGCCGAUGUCGGAUUAGCUAGUUGGUGAGGUAAAGGCUCACCAAGGCGACGAUCCGUAGCAGGUCUGAGAGGAUGAUCUGCCACACUGGAACUGAGACACGGUCCAGACUCCUACGGGAGGCAGCAGUGGGGAAUUUUGGACAAUGGGGGCAACCCUGAUCCAGCCAUGCCGCGUGAGUGAAGGAGGCCUUCGGUUGUAA
rnacentral:rRNA from 1 species